GCCGGGCUAGGUGGCACAUGCCUGUAAUCCCAGCAGCUCGGGAGGCUGAGAAAGGAGGAUUGUGGGUUCAAAGUCAGCCUCAGCAACAGCAAGGUAUUAAGCAACUCAAUGAGACCCUGUCUCUA
rnacentral:sRNA from 1 species